rnacentral:rRNA from 1 species
ACGUAGGGUGCGAGCGUUAAUCGGAAUUACUGGGCGUAAAGCGUGCGCAGGCGGUUUUGUAAGACAGACGUGAAAUCCCCGGGCUUAACCUGGGAACUGCGUUUGUGACUGCAAGGCUAGAGUACGGCAGAGGGGGGUAGAAUUCCGCGUGUAGCAGUGAAAUGCGUAGAUAUGCGGAGGAAUACCGAUGGCGAAGGCAGCCCCCUGGGUCGAUACUGACGCUCAUGCACGAAAGCGUGGGGAGCAAACAGGAUUAGAUACCCUGGUAGUCCACGCCCUAAACGAUGUCAACUAGGUGUUGGGGGAGGAGACUUCCUUAGUACCGCAGCUAACGCGUGAAGUUGACCGCCUGGGGAGUACGGCCGCAAGGUUG